rnacentral:lncRNA from 1 species
CCCAAAAUAGCUCCAAAUUGCACUAAAAUGCACUUUCUUUCCAACUUUGUUAUUAGGACCUACAAACACACGAAAAUAGCUUAAAACACUCUUAUAAGCAAUAACUAAGUAAGUAAAUGCAAGAAAACAUGUUAACUAAGUCGCAUAAAUAUGCUCCUAUCAUCAUGACAAGCCAUGCACAAAAUCGAAAUUACUAAAAUACCCAUAUAUAAAUACUAAAAAUCAUUAGUCAUUGCAUCACUGUUCUCAUUUGGAAGAGAGGGUUGUCGAGAGAGCUUUAUGAGCUCUGGGUUUCUGGGUUGAACUCCGAUUUCGAAAAGAGGGAAGUCCAAAGAGAAGAAGCAAGAAGAGUGAGCUGGGUUUUGGGUUGACCUCAUACCUCUGAUUUUAAACAAAAGGAUGUGAGAGAGAGGUGAGAAGUGUGAGCUAGGUUUUGUACCAUAUUUUCUGUUUUGGUUGGAAAGUUCUAUUUUUUUCCGACUAGGAAAGCUUCUGCAGACAUAGUAAGGUAAGGUUUUUAGUUCCAAGUUCCUUCAUCAAUGAUUUAUGGAAUAAAUAGAUUGUUUGUAAGAUGAAUUAAUACUUGUAAGUAAAAUUAGCAUUUGUGUUUCUUGUUGAGCGUGUGGGUUACGAAAUAAAAUUUCAAGUUUUGAUGUGUUAGAAUACUGGGAUGGAAUAAAUAGGUUGUUUGUAAGAUGAAUUAAUUCUUAUUUAACAUAAUUUUUUACAAAAGGAUCAAAAUGAUUGAUGGUGGACAAUCUCAAGAACCACCUCUAUUGAUUUCAAAUCCUAGAGACCAGUUUAUAGGAUCAAUAUUUAAUUCUUGAUGUUUUUCUUGGCGGGCCCUUGACUCUGGUAAUUAAAACCAAUUCGUUCACCAUGGCCCGACCCGUUAAUCUAUAAAACCUCCUGUUUGGGUUAAAACUUGAACUUUGGGCUUAAAAUGGAGUUAGCCCAGACGAAUGAAUGGAAAGCAAGAAGCCCAAGGCUCAGCUGAAGCCCAGAAGGCGGAAGAGGCAUUUUUCCCGACUAAGUGCAGAUCACUCAAGCCACCUGCUUACCUACCUAAAGGUCAAGUGAUGUAGACCAGCCAGCUAAUCAGCCCAAAAGUACUUUAUAAUGGCAGGACAAGUAAAAAGCUGAUGAGUCACUACCCUUCAGAGGCAUCCAGGCAAGAUUGAAGCUAUAGACAGCCAAGCCAAAUCGUUUAUAAAAGGAGAAAAGAGAAUCAGAGACAAGGACACUCAAUCAAACAAACAAAUACACAAACUCUGCUCAAGCCAUAUUUGCAUAUGAAGCUGUAGUCAGCACCAAGCCUUCAUCCAUUUCGGGAUCAACCUUCACCAAAAAGCCUUUAUAAAAGCUCUGCUACCCUAUUUAAAUCUUGCUGUAGUAU